UUGGAAGCCACAGAUGUA
rnacentral:misc_RNA from 1 species